rnacentral:misc_RNA from 1 species
UCUCCUCUGCUUCAGCGCGAACCACAACCGCAGCCCAGCGAGAGCACACACCGUGUAUGCACACAUCUCUACACAUACGCACUCAUCAUCCAGCGACCGUGUAGCGAGACGGACGCAGAACGCCGUCUUGUUUCUUCUCACGUAGACACGAUCAUGCCCACCUUCAACCCGGUUGCCUCCCUCAAGGGCCAGAGUGUGGCCUCCGCUACACAGUUCUCGCGCGCUGACAUCGACGCCCUCAUCCAGCUCGCACUCGAUAUGAAGACACACAUCGAGGCAGGAAAAACAAUCGACACCCUGCGCGGUCGCGUCAUGACGCCGCUGUUCUUCGAGGACAGCUCUCGCACGCUGACGAGUUUUUGCGCGGCCAUGAUGCGGCUGGGGGGCAGCGUUGUGAACUUCAAGGUGGAGACGUCGUCUGUGAACAAGGGCGAAACGCUGCAGGACACCAUUCGCACGCUGGACUCGUACAGCGACGUGCUCGUGCUCCGCCACGCUAAGGAGGAGGCGUUGGAGCAGGCAAUGAGUGUGGCGACGCACCCGAUCAUGAACGCCGGCAACGGCGCCGGUGAGCACCCGACUCAGGCGUUGCUCGACAUCCUCACGAUUCACGCCGAGCUCGGCGCCGUGGACGGCAUUGCGAUCGCGUUGAUCGGGGACCUCAAGAAGGGCCGCACGGUGCAUUCGCUGCUGAAGCUGCUAACGCACAACUUCGCGCUGAGGAGGGUGUACCUCAUCGCCCCCGCGGGGCUGGAGAUGCCGGCGGAGGUGCUGGAGCAUGUCGCGUCGGACGUGCUGAAGCGCGGGAUCGCGAUUCAGCAGGCGUGUGGCCUCACCCCCGAGAUUGUGGCCGACUGCGACGUGCUCUACGCGACGCGCCUGCAGAAGGAGCGCUUUAUUGCCUCCGCUGCCGGUGACGCCGACGCCAUGACCGCCUUUGAGGCUUCUAAGGCUAGCCUGCUGAUCGACAAGGCUCGCCUGGCACACGCGAAGGCGAAGAUGAUUGUCAUGCACCCGCUACCCCGCGUGGAUGAGCUCAGCUCCGACAUCGACGACGACCCGCGUGCGGCGUAUUUCCGACAGAUGCGCUACGGCCUCUUCAUGCGCAUGGCUAUCCUCUUCAGCGUGCUUUCUUGAGCUGCCAGAGGGGAGGGCGGCGUACCCACCAUCUCUCUCGGGGGGGGGCAGCUGCUAUUCGAAGCGCUGGAGUUCAUGUAGAUAGACUGCUGCCCAACAUGGACCUCAUACACCGAUUAGCAGUGACCCCCCUCCUCCACACACUCGCACGCGCAAGCCGCAGGGAACCAUGGUGCCACCCACCAAAAGAGGAAAACAGAGAGAUGGGCUUCACAGGCUGGGCCAGAAGCCAAGUUGAUGGCGUCUUUCAGCACCGCGGUUUUGUCUAUGGGCUUCGUCCUCUUGACAUUGAAGCUGCCCCCUCCUCCUGAACGUGUGGUGAUGGUGACGGUGAUGCUGAUGCUUGUCCCCCCCCCCCCCCCCCCCACACACACACACACACAGACACCCCCACAAACAUGGCGGCAUAGGAGAGAGACAGAGAAAUUUCCCCUAUCGACGUGCGCAACACAGCGCUGCUGUGUGUCUCGCUGUUCCCGUGCGUGUUCGGUGAUGCGACAGACAUCGUUGCACACGAGAGGGGUCGCACCCCUCCACAGGACAUUGGCAGGCACGCACGCACACACACAGAUCUAUCCUCUCUCACUCAAAGUAAAUCGCAGCUCACACAGCGACCAUAACAUCAUAAGAAGGAACAAGUCAGAGAGCGAGCGAGCGCAACGGAGCGAUAUCAAUGCCCGCGCGCAUGCCGGCUUGCAACUCCAUCGAUCUCUCUCUCUCUUCUGGCACCGAUCACCGAUGCAGCCGGCUCGUGUUGUCGCCACGUUAUCGUUGUGAUGGUCGAGUUGGCAUUGCCGCAGCGCGAACACGCACACAUGUGGGCACGCGUAGUCGCGCACGAUCUGCUGAGCUGACGCGCGUCCGUCGCGCUCUCCUGGUGUUGUUGUUGCCACAGAAUGAAAGGGCUUGUGCAGCGGCUCGGCGAUAUCAGCCUAGAAAGCGUGAAGGCAGGUGUCGAGGACAACCCUGUGCUUUUCCGUCGUUCCUCCGCCAGCCCAGUCG